UCGCCUGUUUAUCAAAAACAUAGCUUCUAGCAACCCCAAUAUUAGAAGUAACGCCUGCCCUGUGGAGACCCUAAACGGCCGCGGCACUAAAACCGUGCAAAGGUAGCACAAUCACUUGUCCCCUAAAUGAGGACCCGUAUGAAAGGCAAUAUGAGAGAAAACCUGUCUCUUAAGAACAGCCAAUGAAAUUGGACUGCCAGUACAAAAACUGACAUUUAAAAGCAAGACAAAAAGACCCUGUGGAACUUUAACAAAUUGCUUACACAAAUAAACAAUAGUUUCAGUUGGGACAACUUUAGAAAAAAUAAACUUCCUAAAUAACCAAGACCAACAAGUCUAAGAUUACACCACGACCCAGUUACACUGACUAACGAAACAAGCUACCCCAGGGAUAACAGCGCCACCUUCUCACAGAGUCCAUAUCAACAAGAAGAUCUACGACCUCGAUGUUGGAUCAGGGUACCCAGACGGUGCAGCAGCUGUCAAUGGUUCGUUUGUUCAACGACUAACACCCUACGUGAUCUGAGUUCAGACCGGA
rnacentral:rRNA from 1 species